rnacentral:rRNA from 1 species
GAUGAACGCUAGCGAUAGGCCUAACACAUGCAAGUCGAGGGGCAUCACAUGAAGUAGCAAUACGGAUGGUGGCGACCGGCGCACGGGUGAGUAACACGUAUGCAACCUGCCUUCAACAAGGGGAUAACCCGUUGAAAGACGGACUAAUACCCUAUAACACAGGGGUCCCGCAUGGGAAUAUUUGUUAAAGGACAACCGGUUGAAGAUGGGCAUGCGUUCCAUUAGCUAGUUGGCGGGGUAACGGCCCACCAAGGCAACGAUGGAUAGGGGAACUGAGAGGUUUAUCCCCCACACUGGUACUGAGACACGGACCAGACUCCUACGGGAGGCAGCAGUGAGGAAUAUUGGUCAAUGGACGCAAGUCUGAACCAGCCACGUCGCGUGAAGGAAGACGGCCCUACGGGUUGUAAACUUCUUUUAUACGGGAAUAAAGUGCCCCACGCGUGGGGUUUU